rnacentral:rRNA from 1 species
UACGAAGGGGGCUAGCGUUGCCGUCGAAUCACUGGGCGUAAAGCGCACGUAGGCGGACUCUUAAGUCGGUGGUGAAAUCCUGGAGCUCAACUCCAGAACUGCCUUCGAUACUGGGAGUCUCGAGUUCGGGAGAGGUGAGUGGAACUGCGAGUGUAGAGGUGAAAUUCGUAGAUAUUCGCAAGAACACCAGUGGCGAAGGCGGCUCACUGGCCCGAUACUGACGCUGAGGUGCGAAAGCGUGGGGAGCAAACAGG